rnacentral:rRNA from 1 species
UACAGAGGGGGCAAGCGUUGUUCGGAAUUACUGGGCGUAAAGGGCGCGUAGGCGGCCUGCUAAGUCGAACAUGAAAUCCCUGGGCUCAACCCAGGAACUGCGUCCGAUACUGGUUGGCUUGAAUCCGGGAGAGGGAUGCGGAAUUCCAGGUGUAGCGGUGAAAUGCGUAGAUAUCUGGAGGAACACCGGUGGCGAAGGCGGCAUCCUGGACCGGCAUUGACGCUGAGGCGCGAAAGCCAGGGGAGCAAACGGG